rnacentral:tRNA from 1 species
GCGGGUGUGGCGGAAUUGGCAGACGCACUAGACUUAGGAUCUAGCGCCUUACGGCGUGGGGGUUCGCUCCCUUCACCCGCA